CAACAAUUCAUCGAGUCUUAAAAGAAUGCCCACACAUCAAAAGUGAAAAACUAAAACAUGCUCCUCGGCUGUUAGGUCGUCAUAGAGAAGCGCGGUUAAAAUUUGCUCGCAAUAACAUGCGCCGAGAUUAGAGUAAAGUGAUCUUCUCGGACGAAAAGAAGUUUAGCUUGGAUGGACCGGAUGGCUUUUCUUCGUACUGGAGAGAUUUGCGGAAAGAACCACGUUACUUCUCUUCAAGGAAUUUCGGGGGUGGCAGUUUGAUGGUAUGGGGAGCGUUUUGCCAAGACGGAUUAUUACCGAUUGCAUUUCCGUCAACUCGAAUGGAUAGUCAGGAAUACACCGAGCUUCUGAAAGAGAA